UGGUUGUAGCUAAAUAAAUGUCGAGAAGUUAACUAGCUGAUUGUCGUGAGAUCUUGCGAUCUUUGCUGGUGAAUCCGCUGCCCGAGCUUCUCACACUU